UUGAAUUCUCAACAUGAGAGUUUGAUCCUGGCUCAGAACGAACGCUGGCGGCAGGCUUAACACAUGCAAGUCGAGCGCCCCGCAAGGGGAGCGGCAGACGGGUGAGUAACGCGUGGGAACGUACCCUUUACUACGGAAUAACGCAGGGAAACUUGUGCUAAUACCGUAUGUGCCCUUUGGGGGAAAGAUUUAUCGGUAAAGGAUCGGCCCGCGUUGGAUUAGCUAGUUGGUGGGGUAAAGGCCUA
rnacentral:rRNA from 1 species